UUUGGAGCAAAGAGCACACAUUUAGCCCAAAACAGCAGUGCUGGAAUUCAGCUCUGUCUGCACAGAUAUAAAGAGGUGCCUUUUAAAGACCAUUAUCUCAUAAUUUUCUAAAAUUAUUUUCCAAAGGAUUCAUUUUACUGGUGAUAUGCAGUAUAAGGCAAGGACACAUGAAGGCUCAUCAUAAUUAUUCCUACCAAAUCUGUGAAACUUCCUGAGGAAGAAGUGUAAAGCAAGAGAUGACCCCAAUCCACCUACCUUCAUGCCCUCUUGAAAAUGCUACCCAAAUGCAGGACAAGCUGGAGGUC